UCGAAAGUGAAAGUUUUGCCCCAAAACCCCGCCGACACGUGUCUUUGUGCCUUUUUCACUGGUUUUACGGAAAUUCUGGACCUUUUCUAGAAGGUAUACGGCGAAUAUCUGCGUUUCACUUCGACCUCACCGCAGCUUCCAGCGUCACGCACGGAUAACUUCGUCUUUUUCUGCUGCUCAGGAACCUUCAAGAGAUGGCUUCAAGACCAAGGAGAUGGCACAGCAGAGAGCUGCCGCCUCACCUGUCAGAUCUGGUCAAUAAACUUCUGCAGGAUUCAGAUUCUUUCACCUCGGAGCUCAACAGAAAAGAACCAAGGAUGAGGGAGAUCGUGAAGGAGCUUCGGAGGAUUUCUGAAGAAGUCAAAGCCAUGCAGGGAAAAGCAGACAAUCAGAGAGGAGGUGGAGCUAGAGGAGGUGGAGGUUCUUCCGUGUCCGGUGUGUUUGCUGCAGCAGCAGCUGGUGGAGCAGCUCAUGCAGGUGAAUCUUCGGCCGCAGUUGUAAAAGUAACUAAAGUGACGAGUGUGAAGGAAAGAGCUGAAAAGGCGAAGAAUCUGGGAGAAGAGUUUAUGAAGACUGUUGAACCGAUGAAGAAGCUCUUGGUUCAAAUCCAUCAAACAUGUAAAGAUCUGGAGGAGAACGUCUCCAAGUAUCAGGCUAAAGAGUCCCUGAAAGGUGUGCAGGAUCUUCAGGAGCUCCUCCAUCAGGUGUCUGAGCUGAAGGAGAAGAGUAGAGGAGCUCUUCAUGUGGUGGAGGCUUUUAUUCAAAUUGUAACCGAGUGGCUCACCAAGGUGGUGGUGUUCUUCCAGAGCUUGUUUGGCUACACUGAAACACCUGAAGAAGACCAGAAGCUGAGAGACACCAUCAUUCAGUCAGCUGAUAAGUGUCAGAAGAUCACUGAGAACUUCUGUCUGAUGAGGGAGGAAAUGGCAAAGUUCAGGAAGUGAAGAGAACUCACACACACACACACACACACACACACACACACACACACACACACACACACACACACACACACACACACACACACACACACACACACACACACACACAGACCCAGA